rnacentral:rRNA from 1 species
UGCUUUUUGAAAAUAUAAAAAGUAAUACCUGCCCAAUGAAUUAUUUAAAUGGCCGCAGUAUUUUGACUGUGCAAAGGUAGCGUAAUCAUUUGUUUUAUAAAUUAAAACUUGUAUGAAUGGAAAAAUGUAAAUAUAACUGUCUUUUAUUUAUAUAUAAAAUUUGCUUUUUCAGUGAAGAAGCUGAACUAUUUUAAAAAGACGAAAAGACCCUAUGAGUUUUAAAUAUUUAUAUUAUAAUUUAUAUAAAUAUUUUUGAUUGGGGCGAUUAAAGAAUAAAUCUUCUUUUUGAAAUUUAAAAUUAUAAUUUUAGAUCCAUUAUUAAUGAAUAAAAGCUUAAGUUACCAUAGGGAUAACAGCAUAAUUUUUUUAAGAGUACAUAUUGACAAAAAAGAUUGUGACCUCGAUGUUGGUUUAAGAAAAUUUUAUAAUGAAGCAGUUAUAAAAAUAAGUUUGUUCAACUUUUAAAUUCUUACA